AUCCCAUGGUGAGGAUAAGCUCUUGUGUACCCCUUCAUACGCUCCCAUGCGUCAUACAAACUCUCUUCUUCGCCUUGCUCAAUCCUAGCAAUAUCAUUCCUUAUCCU
rfam:Arabis alpina cultivar Pajares Aa.chr7_contig_3000, whole genome shotgun sequence.